AAACACAGAUCAGUAAUUUCCUCUCGCUGAAUAGAGUAUAUGUAUUUUGUAGUUUUCUUCGACCUUCCGAUGGGUCUUAAAAUCAUCCAAAUGAAGGAAAGUCUUCCAAUCGAACAACACUGCCGUGAAGAGACUGCGUAAACACGUAUGUAGAGGAAGGAAAGAGGAUUCUCUUUGUUCAUGUUGCUGGUCUAGCGUCCUGGCGGCCACGCAGGGCUGUCGAAGAGCGUUGUUUUAUCUAUCGUUGUCCUGCAUCUUAGCGUGGCGAUCCAAUAAACUUUCGCUAUCCUAUGUUGCGGCCAGCCUGUUGGCGAUAUUGUCCUUAUUGCAUAUUGCAUCGAGCGCGCUAGGUCGACGAGAUCCUUGCCAAUCGAACACUGGUACCGACUCGGUAGAAGAGAGCCUCUUAAAUUCCAGACAGGAGAAUUAUUAUCGUUUCGAGGAAAUUCUGGUGAGUGUUUCCAAGAUCGGCGAUCGGAAAAUCUCGCAAGAAGCUCGAAAAUUAAUUUUCUUUUGGUUCUCUUUUUCAUAAAAUAUUGAUCUAGUAUA